rnacentral:rRNA from 1 species
AGAGUUUGAUCAUGGCUCAGAACGAACGCUGGCGGCAGGCUUAACACAUGCAAGUCGAGCGGGCGCUUUCGGGCGUCAGCGGCGGACGGGUUAGUAACGCGUGGGAACGUGCCCUUUGCUCUGGAAUAGCCCUGGGAAACCGGGGGUAAUACCGGAUGUGCCCUGAGGGGGAAAGGUUUACCGGCAAGGGAUCGGCCCGCGUCUGAUUAGGUAGUUGGUGGGGUAAAGGCCUACCAAGCCUACGAUCGGUAGCUGGUUUGAGAGGAUGAUCAGCAACACUGGGACUGAGACACGGCCCAGACUCCUACGGGAGGCAGCAGUGGGGAAUCUUAGACAAUGGGCGAAAGCCUGAUCUAGCCAUGCCGCGUGGGUGAUGAAGGCCUUAGGGUCGUAAAGCCCUUUCGCCGGGGAAGAUAAUGACGGUACCCGGUAAAGAAACCCCGGCUAACUCCGUGCCAGCAGCCGCGGUAAUACGGAGGGGGUUAGCGUUGUUCGGAAUGACUGGGCGUAAAAGCGCGCGUAGGCGGAUCGCAAAGUUGGGGGUGAAAGCCCAGGGCUCAACCCUGGAAUUGCCUUCAAGACUCGCGGUCUGGAGUUCGAGAGAGGUGGGUGGAAUUCCGAGUGUAGAGGUGAAAUUCGUAGAUAUUCGGAGGAACACCAGUGGCGAAGGCGGCCCACUGGCUCGACACUGACGCUGAGGCGCGAAAGCGCGGGGAGCAAACAGGAUUAGAUACCCUAGUAGUCC